rnacentral:tRNA from 1 species
GUGGGUAUAGCUCAGUGGUAGAGCGUGUGCUUAGCAUGCUUGAGGUCCUGGGUUCAAUCCCCAGUACCUUCA